GGAAAAGAAACUAACAAGGAUUCCCCUAGUAACGGCGAGUGAAGCGGGAAGAGCUCAAAUUUGAAAUCUAGUAGCCUUCGGCUGCUCGAGUUGUAAUCUAGAGAAGUGUUUUCCGUGCCGGCCCAUGUACAAGUCCCUUGGAACAGGGCGUCAUAGAGGGUGAGAAUCCCGUCCUUGACAUGGACCCCCGGUGCUCUGUGAUACACUUUCAACGAGUCGAGUUGUUUGGGAAUGCAGCUCAAAAUGGGUGGUGAAUUCCAUCUAAAGCUAAAUAUUGGCGAGAGACCGAUAGCGAACAAGUACCGUGAGGGAAAGAUGAAAAGCACUUUGGAAAGAGAGUUAAACAGUACGUGAAAUUGUUGAAAGGGAAACGAUUGAAGUCAGUCAUGCUCUUUGGUAUUUAUAUCAUUGAGUGGGGUCAACAUCAGUUUUGAGCGAUGGAUAAAGGCACUAGGAAGGUAGCACUCUCGGGUGAACUUAUAGCCUAGCGUCAUAUACAUUGUUUGGGACUGAGGAACGCAGCAUGCCUUUAUGGCCGGGAUUC
rnacentral:rRNA from 1 species